GAAGCUUAGGUUCACCCAAACCGGAA
rnacentral:tRNA from 1 species